rnacentral:lncRNA from 1 species
AUGAUUCAGAAUAAUUCCUUGCGUGUCUGCAGAGAAUGCUUAGCGUCCAGGAGGGAGCCCUCUUCAUACACAGCUGCAUUUGGGACAGAGCAGCCAUCCUGCACCUGUAGCCCCAGGUCGGUCAGACAGGCCGAGAAUGGGCAGCUGAAGGAAGGGGAAGCUUUGGGGAGACCAGACUGGGCCAGCCCAAUUCUUAGAGAAGGGGCUCUUCUCCCUGAGACGCCGGCACUCCAGCGACGGGUCAGAACCACGGCUUCAAAUUCAGAGUCGCAGGGGAGCUGGAGACAGAGCCAAAAGUGGCAAGCAACAGCUGCAAGGCUGGGUACACCCUAGACAAGGCACCAGUCCACUGCAGUGCAGACAGACGCACUCCCACUGGGGUCACGUUUCCCAGAAGCCAGCUGACCUACCAGUAUGUCCUUGGAUGGCAAAAGGAAACCGGAGUACCCAGAGGAAACUGACGAGAACAUGCCAGCUCCACACAGACAGCACCCCACGUCAGGAGCUGAACCCAGGGCCCCAGUGCUGCAAGGCAGCAAUGCUCACCACUGUGCCUCCCUCAUUUUGUUAUAGUUUGGCUAAAUAAAGAUGGGCUUGGAAUUGCACUACAACACUCUGAAUACAGCAGGGCUACUUAACCUGCCCCUAAAGCAGGCAGCUUCUGAUUAUGCCAACUUACUUAUCUGGAGACCUCUUGUUUGGGACCUGCUUAUCAACCCUGCUGGCUCCUGCAAACACAAGUGGUCAGAGAACAAAUGUAAAUACAGGUAAUAACACAUUUCACCCAGCCUCAGGGGGGUGAAAUCGGCUCGCUUCAUAUUUCCCCAAGCCCAGCUGUUUCAGGAUGAACAGAAAGACCACCAGUUCAAUAUGUAGCACAAAUUUUUUAUGUAAACAAUAACAUUUUCUUCUCAAUUACAGAUCAACAGUGUUCAAGAGAUUUACUUUUGCGUAGUUACUUGAGCUGCACACACCCGUCAAGCAGAUUAUCGGAGUCAAGCUCUUUCAGAGAGGUUACAAGAAAGCCUAAAUCGCCAUGAGUGCCAUUCUUUUCAACAGUUGCUGCAGUUUGAUUCAAGAAGAGCCGUGUGCAAAGCACUUAAUUCAUGAAUACUACAUUCACCUGGCCCCACAGUGAGGAUGCGUGAAAGAACUUCACUUCAUCAAGAGCCGUUUGGAAGUUAGGAGGUUAAACGUAAAGUUCAAAAUGCUUUGUCAAAACAAAAGAACCCUAUUGGCACUUCAGUAGUUAAUUUCUGCAUUUUCCCAUCCCUUUAUCGUGUUCUGCAUGUUUUACCAUUUCUUUCUGCUUAUUGUCUGCAGGAGAAAACCCCCUGAAAAAGGCUUGAGCCAGUAUAUGUAACUGGGAACAUAAGCUAUAUAUUUCCUGCCCCCUGUAAGCAGUCUUGAUGCAACAAUUACAAACAUCCCCCUAUAUUAUAUAAAUCUAGUGUAGGAAAUCACUUAAGGCAGCAGGGAGAGGAAAUCUUAAUAGAAACAAGGGAAUCAAUCAAACACAACAGCCUGAGCAAACAAGGAAAUAAAGUAUUGAAAAGAUUUACUACUACAUAUCGCCUGUCUGAGAACAAUGGGAACUAAUGCAAACUUCAGCAGCUUUUCUUCAUCUUAAAGCCAUCAGAUAUGCCCAAUUCACAGUCGUUUCUCCUCUAGGAAAGAACAGGUUUGUGCAGCUCUAGGUUUUACGCAGGGUUGAUACUGUGCAACAGGUAAUUGUCUCAUCUUUCUGUACAUCUACCCAGUCCCAGACUUCAUACACUUCCCCAAAACAUUACACAACUGCCAACAAACCAAACAAGGCCAGACCAUACAGACUACUUCACUGCACAGGACAGAGGUUAAA